rnacentral:rRNA from 1 species
AAUUUUGGACAAUGGGGGAAACCCUGAUCCAGCCAUCCCGCGUGUAUGAUGACGGCCUUCGUGUUGUAAAGUACUUUUGGCAGAGAAGAAAAGGUAUCUCCUAAUACGAGAUACUGCUGACGGUAUCUGCAGAAUAAGCACCGGCUAACUACGUGCCAGCAGCCGCGGUAAUACGUAGGGUGCAAGCGUUAAUCGGAAUUACUGGGCGUAAAGGCUGUGUAGGCGGUUUGGAAAGAAAGAUAUGAAAAUCCAGGGCCAAACCCUGGAACUGCCUUUUUAACUAACGAGCUAGAGUAUGUCAGAGGGGGGGAGAAAUCCAAGUGUAGCAGGGAAAUGCGUAGAUAUGUGGAGGAAUACCGGUGGGGGAGGGAAGCCCCUGGGAUAAUACUGACGCUCAGACACGAAAGCGUGGGGAGCAAACAG